rnacentral:rRNA from 1 species
UACGGGGGGAGCAAGCGUUGUUCGGAUUUACUGGGCGUAAAGGGCGCGUAGGCGGCCACCGCAAGUCAAUUGUGAAAUCUCCGGGCUUAACUCGGAAAGGUCAACUGAUACUGCGGGGCUAGAGUGCGGAAGGGGCAACUGGAAUUCUCGGUGUAGCGGUGAAAUGCGUAGAUAUCAGGAGGAACACCGGCGGCGAAGGCGGCCCUCUGGAUCGUUGCUGACGCUGAGACGCGAAAGCGUGGGGAGCAAACAGG